AUACGUAGGGGGCGAGCGUUGACCGGAAUUACUGGGCGUAAAGGGUGCGUAGGCGGCCGAUCAAGUCAGAUGUGAAAUACCACGGCUCAACUGUGGGGGUGCAUAUGAAACUGGUUGGCUUGAGUGCAGGAGAGGAAAGUGGAAUUCCUAGUGUAGCGGUGAAAUGCGUAGAGAUUAGGAGGAACACCAGUGGCGAAGGCGACUUUCUGGACUGUAACUGACGCUGAGGCACGAAAGCGUGGGGAGCGAACAGGAUUAGAUACCCUGGUAGUCCACGCCGUAAACGAUGGAUACUAGGUGUAGAGGGUAUCGACCCCCUCUGUGCCGGAGUUAACGCAAUAAGUAUCCCGCCUGGGGAGUACGGCCGCAAGGUUGAA
rnacentral:rRNA from 1 species